UCCAGACUCCUACGGGAGGCAGCAGUGGGGGAUAUUGCACAAUGGGGGGAACCCUGAUGCAGCGACGCCGCGUGGGUGAAGGAGCGUUUCGGCGCGUAAAGCCCUAUCGGCAGGGAAGAAGGAGGACGGUACCUGACUAAGAAGCCCCGGCUAACUACGUGCCAGCAGCCGCGGUAAUACGUAGGGGGCAAGCGUUAUCCGGGUUUACUGGGUGUAAAGGGAGCGUAGACGGCAGUGCAAGUCCGGAGUGAAAGCGCGGGGCUCAACCCUGGGCCUGCUCUGGAAACUGUAAAGCUGGAGUGCGGGAGGGGCAGGCGGAAUUCCUGGUGUAGCGGUGAAAUGCGUAGAUAUCAGGAGGAACACCGGCGGCGAAGGCGGCCUGCUGGACCGUAACUGACGUUGAGGCUCGAAAGCGUGGGGAGCAAACAGGAUUAGAUACCCUGGUA
rnacentral:rRNA from 1 species